GUUAAAAUAAUUUAAUUUAAAAUAUUGGUUUUGUAAACCAAAUUUGGGCUUCCUUUUAACA
rnacentral:tRNA from 1 species